AUUGAACGCUGGCGGCAGGCCUAACACAUGCAAGUCGAGCGAGCGGCGGACGGGUGAGUAAUGUAUGGGGACUGCCCGAUAGAGGGGGAUAAAUACUGGAAACGGUGGCUAAUACCCCAUACUAUCGGAUAACCCAUAUGGGAUUAGCUAGUGGGUGGGGUAAAGGCUCACCUAGGCGACGAUCUCUAGCUGGUCUGAGAGGAUGAUCGGCCACACUGGGACUGAGACACGGCCCAGACUCCUACGGGGGCAGCGGUGGGGAAUAUUGGACAAGGAGCGCAAGCCGGAUGCAGCCAUGCCGGGGGUAUGAGGAAGGCCUUAGGGUGGUAAAGUACUUUCAGCGGGGAGGCGUUACCCGAAGAAGAAGCACCGGCUAACUCCGUGCCAGCCGCCGCGGUAAUUC
rnacentral:rRNA from 1 species